rnacentral:tRNA from 1 species
GGCCUCAUAGCUCAGCUGGUAGAGCGUGCGCUUUACGAAUGAGUUUGUGGCGUCCAUGCAUGGGUUCGAAUCCCACCGGGACUA